rnacentral:rRNA from 1 species
CGUAGGGUGCGAGCGUUAAUCGGAAUUACUGGGCGUAAAGUGUGCGCAGGCGGCUCCGCAAGUCGAGCGUGAAAUCCCCGAGCUUAACUUGGGAAUUGCGCUCGAAACUACGGAACUGGAGUGUGGCAGAGGAAGGUGGAAUUCCACGUGUAGCGGUGAAAUGCGUAGAGAUGUGGAGGAACACCGAUGGCGAAGGCAGCCUUCUGGGCCAACACUGACGCUCGUGCACGAAAGCGUGGGGAGCAAACAGGAUUAGAUACCCUGGUAGUCCACGCCCUAAACGAUGAUGACUAGUGUCGGAGGAGUUAAAUCCUUUAGUAACGCAGCUAACGCGUGAGUCAUCCGCCUGGGGAGUACGGUCGCAAGAUUA